GAGGAACAAGAGUCUGUUCAUGGUGAGAUGGUUCAGAAGAUCUUGGACAUUCUGCGCUUCUUGUGGGCCAUCAUUUUGGCUAUGGUGGAUGGACUGACUCAGUGGCUCAAUUUACUCACAAAACAGUACAGCAAUACGUCCACAGUUCUGUGCAAUGAACGCUACUUCAGCAUACACAAAAUAGAGCCGUGUAACGUAGCAGCAGGGUCCAGAGAUGAUCAGGCGUCUCAGAUUAGUGAGAU